rnacentral:rRNA from 1 species
UACGUAGGGGGCUAGCGUUGUUCGGAAUCAUUGGGCGUAAAGCGUGCGUAGGCGGUUUGUUAAGUCUGUCGUGAAAGCCCCGGGCUCAACCUGGGAAUGGCGAUGGAUACUGGCGAGCUAGAGUACGGUAGAGGAGAGUGGAAUUCCCGGUGUAGCGGUGAAAUGCGUAGAGAUCGGGAGGAACAUCAGUUGCGAAGGCGGCUCUCUGGACCAGUACUGACGCUGAGGCACGAAAGCGUGGGGAGCAAACAGG